GAUGAACGCUAGCGGCAGGCUUAACACAUGCAAGUCGAGGGGUAGUCUAGCAAUAGAUGAGACCGGCGCACGGGUGCGUAACGCGUAUGCAACCUACCUUUUACAGAGGGAUAGCCCAGAGAAAUUUGGAUUAAUACCUCAUAGUAUAUAACCUUCGCAUGUUGGUUAUAUUAAAGUUCCAACGGUAAAAGAUGGGCAUGCGUCCUAUUAGCUAGAUGGUAAGGUAACGGCUUACCAUGGCUACGAUAGGUAGGGGUCCUGAAAGGGAGAUCCCCCAGACGAGUACUGAGACACGGACCAGACUGCUACGGGAGGCAGCAGUGAGGAAUAGUGGACGAGGGGCUCAAGCCUAGUCCAGCCAUGCCGCGUGCAGGAAGAAGCAGCUAUGGUGUGUAAACUGCUUUUGUACGGGAAGAAACACCCCUUCGUGAAGGGACUUGACGGUACCGUAAGAAUAAGGAUCGGCUAACUCCGUGCCAGCAGCCGCCGUAAAAC
rnacentral:rRNA from 1 species